rnacentral:rRNA from 1 species
UACGUAGGGUGCGAGCGUUAAUCGGAAUUACUGGGCGUAAAGCGUGCGCAGGCGGUUUUGUAAGCCAGAUGUGAAAUCCCCGGGCUUAACCUGGGAAUGGCAUUUGGGACUGCAAGGCUUGAGUGCGGCAGAGGAGACUGGAAUUCCUGGUGUAGCAGUGAAAUGCGUAGAUAUCAGGAGGAACACCGAUGGCGAAGGCAGGUCUCUGGGCUGACACUGACGCUCAUGCACGAAAGCGUGGGGAGCAAACGGG